GGAUAUAUCAUGUUUAAACACCAGUUCUCGUCCGAUCACCGAAGUUAAGGAAGUCUGAACCUGGUAAAUACUUAGAUGGGUGACCACUUGGGAAUACCAGGCGCU